rnacentral:rRNA from 1 species
ACUCAAAUGAAUUGACGGGGGCUCACACAAGCGGUGGAGCAUGUUGCUUAAUUCGAAGCAACGCGAAGAACCUUACCUGGGUUUGACAUGCUUGGAUUAGUCGCUGGAAACAGUGAUGACACUCGCAAGAGUGGAACAAGCACAGGUGCUGCAUGGCUGUCGUCAGCUCGUGCUGUGAAGUGUCGGGUUAAGUCCCUUAACGAGCGCAACCCUUGUCGCUAGUUGCUAACAGGUAAUGCUGAGGACUCUAGCGAGACUGCCGGUGUCAAACCGGAGGAAGGCGGGGAUGACGUCAAGUCCUCAUGGCCCUUACAUCCAGGGUUGCAAACGUGCUACAAUGGUGCGUACAGAGCGACGCGAGACCGCGAGGUGGAGCAAAUCGCAAAAAACGCACCCCAGUUCGGAUUGCAGGCUGCAACUCGCCUGCAUGAAGCCGGAAUCGCUAGUAAUCGGGGAUCAGCUACGCCCCGGUGAAUAAGUUCCUGAGCCUUGUACACACCGCCCGU